rnacentral:rRNA from 1 species
AUUGAACGCUGGCGGCAGGCCUAACACAUGCAAGUCGAGCGGAUGACGGGAGCUUGCUCCUUGAUUCAGCGGCGGACGGGUGAGUAAUGCCUAGGAAUCUGCCUGGUAGUGGGGGACAACGUUUCGAAAGGAACGCUAAUACCGCAUACGUCCUACGGGAGAAAGCAGGGGACCUUCGGGCCUUGCGCUAUCAGAUGAGCCUAGGUCGGAUUAGCUAGUUGGUGGGGUAAUGGCUCACCAAGGCGACGAUCCGUAACUGGUCUGAGAGGAUGAUCAGUCACACUGGAACUGAGACACGGUCCAGACUCCUACGGGAGGCAGCAGUGGGGAAUAUUGGACAAUGGGCGAAAGCCUGAUCCAGCCAUGCCGCGUGUGUGAAGAAGGUCUUCGGAUUGUAAAGCACUUUAAGUUGGGAGGAAGGGCAGUAAGUUAAUACCUUGCUGUUUUGACGUUACCGACAGAAUAAGCGCCGGCUAACUCCGUGCCAGCAGCCGCCGUAAGAC